GAUAGGUGAUGAAUAAGUGAAAAGCCGAUUAAGAUGGAAAAUUACAAAAGGGACAACCCUCCAAGGUAUUUUUCAAUUCUUUUCAAAGUCUCUAGUAUUAAGCCUAUUAAGCAAGUAUAACUAGAUGCAAUAGUUCACUUUAGAGCUUUUAGAUUCUAAAAAGAGACAACAAUGUCCCAUUUUACUUCUCUAACAUGAUUGAGGGAUACGAGGGUAUGACUACCAAAAGAAAGUAAUUACAAUUUAAUUUGAUCGGAGGAAG
rnacentral:lncRNA from 1 species